rnacentral:rRNA from 1 species
CCCUUAGAUGUUCUGGGCUGCACGCGCGCUACACUGAUACUUUCAGCGAGUCCACCACCUUGCCUGGGAGGGUGGGGUAACCUCUGGAAAGUGCAUCGUGAUGGGGAUCGAUUAUUGUAAUUAUUAAUCUUCAACGAGGAAUUCCUAGUAAGCAUGUGUCAUCAGCCCGUGCUGAUUACGUCCCUGCCCUUUGUACACACCGCCCGUCGCUCCUACCGAUUGAAUGGUUCGGUGAAGAUCUCGGACUUCGAUAUUUAUUCUUUAUUGAGUUUAUAUUGUGGGAAGUUAUCUAAACCUCAUCAUUUAGAGGAAGGUGAAGUCGUAACA